GCGGGCGUGGCGGAAUGGCAGACGCGCUGGAUUUAGGAUCCAGUGGGGUAACUCCCGUGGAGGUUCAAGUCCUCUCGCCCGCACCA
rnacentral:tRNA from 1 species